CAUAAAACCCAACCCUAAAUCUCUCUCAACUCUCAAAGUCUACUGCCGCCCUCCCCUCCCCCUUCUUCUCUUGGGUCAGAAGCACGAAGAUAAACCCAUGAGAGUUUCACCGUGGAAUCAGUACCAGUUGGUGGAUAACGAACCAGACCCUAACCUCCAGCUGGCUUCCUUGAAGAACCGGUUUUCCCGCGGGUGCGCUUCCCUUGUUUGCUUCGGUCGCGCUUCCGCAGGUCUUGAUUCCCCAUCACAUCUCAAAGUAGGUCCUGCCCAACAGCAGGAUGUCUUGCCAGAGUCUCUUGUUACUGACAAGGGCAAAGACCAUCCAAAUGAAGUUCAAGGUGAUAAUAUUACAAGAAGAGUUAAUCUUAAGAGUAGCUUGAAGAAGCCAUCAAAUAGCAUUCCAGUUCCUGUUGAGGAUGCCAAUCAACACGAUGCAUUGGGUGACAAAAGCAGUGAUGUCUCUGGUCUUACAGAAAGGAGAAAAGUGCAGUGGACAGAUGUUUGUGGGAGUGAGCUUGCUGAAAUCAGGGAAUUUGAGCCAAGGUAGAGGAGAAUAUGCGAUUAAGGACUGAACUUCAGAAAAAAAUUCAGGAACUUGAAAAAUACGUAAGUGCUUCUAAUAGUUUCUGCUACUCUAUCCAAUAUGAAUUGAAUUGCCAGCUGAUUAAAUCCAAGUAAUUCCUUGUUAGCUGGUGUAUUUGCUGGUCUAUAAUUCCUGUUUUCUUUCUCUUAACUUUUUUUCUGUAUUAAGUAUCACUUCCAUCUUCCUAUGAAUAUGUUAAUUCCUUAUCUAUUUCUUUGUGUUUUUCUUUUUCUUUUCUGUCUGUUCAUCUUAACACUCUCAUUCUUGCUCAUGCUAAACAAAGAAAGCUCCGAGCUAUGCUGGAAAAAAAAAAAGAAAAUAUUUUUUUUUGAGUUCGAAACUUAUUUCUCAUUCAACUGCUGGUAGUUUUUAAUAAGAACUGUUAUUAGCUGCAUUAAGCACAUUUGCUUUCAAAUUAAUUUUUUCCAUUGUAAUUUUUAAUUGCCAUAUGCCCAUAUCAUUGACUAUGUAAUUCUUGAUAUUUGCAAUUGAGAAUGGUUGUCAUGAGCUGAUUUUUCUUUUCUCUUCCGAGUUAUAAUUCAAUUCUAUCCCCCCCUUUUCAUGUUUUAUUUUUUUCUCACCUUUUCUUGCAUCCUCUUUCCAUUUUAAUAAAACGAAAGCUAAGGUGUUGGGGAUUUUCAUUUCACCAUAGUGCAUGUUUUAGGAAACAUACAUUAUUGAUUAUACCAGGCUAACAUAGGUCUGUUUAAAUGCUGCAUAUGCUCUAAUUUGGACAAAACGAGGCUCAAUUGCUCAAUCUUGAAUUAUGUAAAGGUCUACUUAUGCCAAAUCGAAACAUGAGCACCCAGUUGUCUUUGGUGGGAUUGAAUAACCUAAGAAGCUGAUAGAAUUUCUCCUUAACAUAAGAAACAACCAUAUUGAUAUUAUCUGGCAUCAAGAGCUCAAUUCGAAGCUAUUAUAGUUUUUUAUCCAAACUGAACAUCAUCUUACAGAGGCUUUCUGGAGCAUCUUUGCUAAUACUAGCAAAUAAGCAAGACCUAAAAGGUGCUUUUACACCAGAUGAAAUUGCUAAGGUACUAAACCUGGAGAAUAUGGACAAAACCAGGCAUUGGAAAAUCGUGGGCUGUAGCGCAUACACAGGGGAGGGGCUGCUUGAGGGAUUUGAUUGGUUGGUUCAGGACAUGAUGAUACCUUAGGAUCUAGUCAACAUUAAGCAAUAGAGUUAGGUUUUUUUUAUUGGCCCUCUCAGAGAACUGAUUAAGGUCCAUUUGUACUGUUUUAUUAACUAUCUUAUUGUUGUGGAAUUUAGUCAAGCUGUGAAUUCGACAAAAAAAGAAAAAAAGUCAAGCUGUGAAACUUUUUGAGUCAAUAGUAUUAUUAAAACUUUCAAUGGGAAGUUUGGGUCAA